ensembl:lncRNA
CUUUACUAAAGAAAAAUCUCUGGAAAGCUUUCUCCUGCAAACCUGGAAUCUUCUGAUACGGAGCAGCCCCCAUUUCACCUCCCCUUUUCCGUGAUUGACUCAGCAGCUCCUGGGACAGAGAGAGGAAAGGGGCCUCGAGGUCACAACCUUCACAAUCUUCAAAGCCCCUGCCGCUUCCAGCAGCUGUCACAGCUCUCACUGACCAUAUCCCCAGAAGGUCAGCAAAAAAAUAAACACUGGGGCCCGAAUGAUCCCCUUCUCAUGCAAACUGUCCAUUUCCCUCCCCAG